rfam:Myotis lucifugus cont2.48391, whole genome shotgun sequence.
UUUUAAGUAUAAGUAUGUGCCAUGCAAUAUUUGGGAUAUAUUUAUACUAAAA